GACGGAGGAUGCUAGCGUUGUUCGGAAUUACUGGGCGUAAAGGCCGCGUAGGCGGCCUCUUAAGUCGGGUGUGAAAGCCCGGGGCUCAACCCCGGAACGGCACCGGAGACUGCGGUGCUGGAGACCGGAAGAGGUGAGUUGAAUACCCAGUGUAGAGGUGAAAUUCGUAGAUAUUGGGUGGAACACCGGUGGCGAAAGCGGAUCACUGGUCCGGUUCUGACGCUGAGGCGCGAAAGCGUGAGGAGCAAACAGG
rnacentral:rRNA from 1 species